rnacentral:rRNA from 1 species
AGAGUUUGAUCCUGGCUCAGGACGAACGCUGGCGGCGUGCUUAACACAUGCAAGUCGAACGAUGAAGCUUCGGCCGGAUUAGUGGCGAACGGGUGAGUAACACGUGGGCAACCUGCCCUCCACUCUGGGAUAACUCCGGGAAACCGGGGCUAAUACUGGAUACGACCUCCGACCGCAUGGUUGGUGGUGGAAAGUUUUUC